UGGGGAAUUUUGGACAAUGGGCGAAAGCCUGAUCCAGCAAUGCCGCGUGUGUGAAGAAGGCCUUCGGGUUGUAAAGCACUUUUGUCCGGAAAGAAAUCCUUGGCUCUAAUACAGCCGGGGGAUGACGGUACCGGAAGAAUAAGCACCGGCUAACUACGUGCCAGCAGCCGCGGUAAUACGUAGGGUGCAAGCGUUAAUCGGAAUUACUGGGCGUAAAGCGUGCGCAGGCGGUUUGCUAAGACCGAUGUGAAAUCCCCGGGCUCAACCUGGGAACUGCAUUGGUGACUGGCAGGCUAGAGUAUGGCAGAGGGGGGUAGAAUUCCACGUGUAGCAGUGAAAUGCGUAGAGAUGCGGAGGAAUACCGAUGGCGAAGGCAGCCCCCUGGGCCAAUACUGACGCUCAUGCACGAAAGCGUGGGGAGCAAACAGGAUUAGGAUACCCUGGUAGUCCACGCCCUAAACGAUGUCAACUAGUUGUUGGGGAUUCAUUUCCUUAGUAACGUGAGCUAACGCGUGAAGUUGACCGCCU
rnacentral:rRNA from 1 species